AUUGAACACUGGCGGCAGGCCUAACACAUGCAAGUCGAACGGUAACAGAAAGCAGCUUGCUGCUUUGCUGACGAGUGGCGGACGGGUGAGUAAUGUCUGGGAAACUUCCUGAUGGAGGGGGAUAACUACUGGAAACGGUAGCUAAUACCGCAUAACGUCGCAAGACCAAAGAGGGGGACCUUCGGGCCUCUUGCCAUCGGAUGUGCCCAGAUGGGAUUAGCUAGUAGGUGGGGUAACGGCUCACCUAGGCGACGAUCCCUAGCUGGUCUGAGAGGAUGACCAGCCACACUGGAACUGAGACACGGUCCAGACUCCUACGGGAGGCAGCAGUGGGGAAUAUUGCACAAUGGGCGCAAGCCUGAUGCAGCCAUGCCGCGUGUAUGAAGAAGGCCUUCGGGUUGUAAAGUACUUUCAGCGGGGAGGAAGGGAGUAAAGUUAAUACCUUUGCUCAUUGACGUUACCCGCAGAAGAAGCACCGGCUAACUCCGUG
rnacentral:rRNA from 1 species